GGCGACGACGGGUAGCCGGCCUGAGAGGGUGACCGGCCACACUGGGACUGAGACACGGCCCAGACUCCUACGGGAGGCAGCAGUGGGGAAUAUUGCACAAUGGGCGCAAGCCKGAUGCAGCGACGCCGCGUGAGGGAUGAAGGCCUUCGGGUUGUAAACCUCUUUCAGUAGGGAAGAAGCCGYUYUUUUGGGUUGGUGACGGUACCUGCAGAAGAAGCGCCGGCUAACUACGUGCCAGCAGCCGCGGUAAUACGUAGGGCGCAAGCGUUAUCCGGAAUUAUUGGGCGUAAAGAGCUCGUGGCGGUUUGUCGCGUCUGCCGUGAAAGUCCGGGGCUUAACCCCGGAUCUGCGGKGGGUACGGGCAGACUAGAGUGCAGUAGGGGAGACUGGAAUUCCUGGUGUAGCGGUGAAAUGCGCAKAUAUCAGGAGGAACACCGAUGGCGAAGGCAGGUCUCUGGGCUGUAACUGACGCUGAGGAGCGAAAGCAUGGGGAGCGAACAGGAUUAGAUACCCUGGURGUCCAUGCCGUAAACGUUGGGCACUAGGUGUGGGGGACAUUCCACGUUUUCCGCGCCGUAGCUAAYGCAUUAAGUGCCCCGYCUGGGGAGUACGG
rnacentral:rRNA from 1 species